UACGUAGGCAGCGAGCGUUGUUCGGAUUUACUGGGCGUAAAGGGCGCGUAGGCGGCCUGUGCAAGUCAGUUGUGAAAUCUCCGAGCUUAACUCGGAACGGUCAACUGAUACUGCUCGGCUAGAGUGCGGAAGGGGCAACUGGAAUUCUUGGUGUAGCGGUGAAAUGCGUAGAUAUCAAGAGGAACACCUGCGGCGAAGGCGGGUUGCUGGGCCGACACUGACGCUGAGGCGCGAAAGCUAGGGGAGCGAACGGG
rnacentral:rRNA from 1 species